ensembl:lincRNA
CCCAUUUUCACUGUGGUUGGUUGUGUGUGUAAUAGAGUCAGAUCUGGACAAAUCUGGUAGCUGUUUCUGGAAUCCAAUUCAACCCAGUUACAUUUCGUACCAGGUUUCACUCUGGGGUGUUGCUUCCCCAGUCGGCAGUUUAAUUACUGCACACCUGGGCUCCAGAAAAGAUUAUGUCUCACCUGCUCUAAGCUGGAACACUGUAACACCAGUCACAUGCAGGAGAAGACGUGAAUAUCUACGUAAAAUGUGCCCACAUAAACCUGGAUUGGAUGAACAGGACCCAUCUGAUUCUUCUCUCAGAACCUGA